UAGUGAUUAACGCGAAGAACCUUACCUGGUCUUGACAUCCAUGGAACCCAGCAGAGAUGCAGGGGUGCCGUAAGGAACCAUGAGACAGGUGCUGCAUGGCUGUCGUCAGCUCGUGUCGUGAGAUGUUGGGUUAAGUCCCGCAACGAGCGCAACCCUCGCCUUUAGUUGCCAUCAUUCAGUUGGGCACUCUAAAGGGACUGCCGGUGAUAAGCCGGAGGAAGGUGGGGAUGACGUCAAGUCCUCAUGGCCCUUACGGGUAGGGCUACACACGUGCUACAAUGGCGGUGACAGAGGGCAGCGACCCCGCGAGGGGAUGCUAAUCCUUAAAAGCCGUCUCAGUUCGGAUUGCACUCUGCAACUCGGGUGCAUGAAGUCGGAAUCGCUAGUAAUCGCUAAUCAGCAGGUAGCGGUGAAUACGUUCCCGGGCCUUGUCACACCGAAUCGAAUUC
rnacentral:rRNA from 1 species